rnacentral:rRNA from 1 species
AACGAACGCUGGCGGCAGGCUUAACACAUGCAAGUCGAACGCCCCGCAAGGGGAGUGGCAGACGGGUGAGUAACGCGUGGGAAUCUACCUAGAACUACGGAACAACUGAGGGAAACUUCAGCUAAUACCGUAUACGCCCUACGGGGGAAAGAUUUAUCGGUUCUAGAUGAGCCCGCGUAAGAUUAGCUAGUUGGUGGGGUAAUGGCCUACCAAGGCGACGAUCUUUAGCUGGUCUGAGAGGAUGAUCAGCCACACUGGGACUGAGACACGGCCCAGACUCCUACGGGAGGCAGCAGUGGGGAAUAUUGGACAAUGGGCGCAAGCCUGAUCCAGCCAUGCCGCGUGAGUGAUGAAGGCCUUAGGGUUGUAAAGCUCUUUCAGUGGGGAAGAUAAUGACGGUACCCACAGAAGAAGCCCCGGCUAACUUCGUGCCAGCCGCCGCCGUAAAAC